GAUCAUGGCUCAGGAUGGACGCUAGCUACAGGCUUAACACAUGCAAGUCGAGGGGCAGCGGGGAGUAGCAAUACUCCGCCGGCGACCGGCGCACGGGUGCGUAACGCGUAUGCAACCUACCUUUAACAGGGGCAUAACACUGAGAAAUUGGUACUAAUUCCCCAUAACAUUCGGGAAGGCAUCUUCUUGGGUUAAAAACUCCGGUGGUUAAAGAUGGGCAUGCGUUGUAUUAGCUAGUUGGUGAGGUAACGG
rnacentral:rRNA from 1 species